GAAUGAAAGAGUGAAUGGCUAAAGGGAGCAGUGGCCAGAAACAGGAGAGGCUUAGUCGGCAGAAGCAAUAGGCUCUGGUGAUUAGCUAGGUGCAGAGAGGGGUGGCUAGGAGAGAAGGAAGAGGCACGGAUGAGCCCAAACUCUAGACUUGGGAGCUGAGGGGAAGGAGCAACCUGGAGGAGAAGAAGAUAGUUCUGUCCUUAUCUCAGGAGGGAAAGACACACAGAUGGCGGCCGUGUCUUAACGCAGGAGACGUUCCGGUUUCACGUGGGUUCCUCAAAGAGUGGCACCUGGAAAUUCUACGCUAGCUGAUCCAGACCUGCCCUGUGUCCCAGGUCACAAGGGACCACGUGGGCUCCAUCAGUGGAGCCAGAAGUCGGAGGGUUAUCUUCAGCAACCUUCACCACCACACUCAAUGAGCAAGAACUGUAGGUUCUGCCCUCCCUGUAAUCUCAAAACCCAGC
ensembl:lncRNA